rnacentral:lncRNA from 1 species
AAUAAUACUAAAUGAUAAUAUAAUUCGAACUUAAUUUACAUACAUCAAAGUUUACUUCCCCAGGUACGUGACCUUCAAAUACAUUCCUUACAAUACCUGACAAUAGAUUCCAUUGUCUUACUAACUAUAACCAUUAACUCAUAAUAUAAACUCAUUCGAACAACUUUCAUUUCCCCUUGUUCGUGCCUAAGCCUUCAGGUUGCUCAUACAUAACUGAAAACAUUUAAUUUAAGCAAGGAUGAGCAUUUGAGUGCCCAGCAAGUAAUAGCAAUUAUAUAUAUAAGCUGAAAGAAUAUAAGUAUUCUCUUUAUAUAACACUUCUACAACGAAUCGAGAGUUGUGAAGUAAUUUGUACUGAUAAAAAAUUCACAUAACAACUCUCUUCCAAAUUAUUUAAAUUUGGCUCUGGCUCUACCCAUGAAUAGGGUUUAAGAAACAUACUAUGAACAUUCUUUUCAUUUUCGAAAAGGUUUGGUAGAAAUCCAUCCGCAAACCGUUCUAGCUUACGGGUACGGAGGGUGAUCAGCCCCGUUGUACCCUGUAUUGAUCAAUACUACAUAACUCUGAACGAAAUUCAUCGUUUUAUUCUGUCCGCCUCGGGCGCAAAAAUUUUCCCAUAUAGGGAUGUUCAUACAUGCCUGGUUCCAAACCCGAAGGUUUUUAAUCUUACUCAACAAUAAUAUGUAGUUCAACAUAUAUAUAUACAGGUAAUUGACAAAGGUGUAUCAACAUGCGAAUAAAUGCCAUGAUUAUCCAAGUGGGGACACUUGUAUAACCAUUUAGAAAUCAACUUAACAGAAUAUAUAUCUGAGCUAACAUGUUGAUAAUCAAAGCGUAUAUAAUCUGUACAGGAAUAGAAAAGAAUUCUGAAACUCUCUUACUCAUGUCCAUUGCAUAAAGAAAAUGCAAAGGUAGGAUACUUGCCUGAUUUGCUGAUUACAAAUCUCAACUUAGAUUCUAUCUCUUUUAUGACAACCUAUCAAUAAUCAGAUCAUUCGUUC